GCCAGGGUCAGGUACUGCUUAGGACAAAGGACUAAGAUAGUAGACUCUUUCUCCAGAGAAUGUCCCCUCCACUUUUUCUCUCAUUGUUGUCUGGGGGAUUCUGUGAUGUAUUGAAAAGGGGAAAGAAUUAGAAGGCAUCUGGGAAGUCACUGUAAUAAAAUAUUUGUAAAUGUCAGGUUUGGUCUGGGGUACGAUUUCUGAGGCAUGGAAAUGAAUGAUGCCAAUUCAAUACCUUGUUUCUAUCAUCCACAGGUUUUCAACUAGGUGUGAUUUUCUCCCUCCUCUCUUGACCCAGAACUUCUAUCAAUGUCUGGACGCAUUUUUGUUUGUCUGUGACUGAGGGAGAGAAAAAGGAAGCUGCUAUUACCCCCAUUUGUGGGUAGAGGCAGGGGAUGCUGUUAAAUAUCUUACAAGGCACAGGAGCCCCCAUGACAGAGAAUCAUCCAGUCCAGAUGUCAGCAGUGCCAAGGCUGAGAAACCCUCCUGUAAACCAAAUGGACUCUCAUGCCCUUUGUUUCCCUGGGACUUUUUGUCACUGUGGAUAUAUUUCUUGUAAUACCUCUAUAUGUUUAUUUUAAACUUAUUUUGAAUGUGACAUAACCAUCUUUCAGAACACAGUUAUCUUAGGUCUGCGCAGAUUAGCAUUCUCAAACUAUGUUCUCUCUCUCUCUCUUUCUCUGAAGUUCAUAGUGGUGGAACAGAAUGACACAGCAGAUCUUCAAAGACAGAUAUUCAGAAGGGAUUAACGUAUGACCAUGACUUUUGAAGCUUUCACCAUCUGAGCUACUCAAUGAAAUAGGUGCUGUACACAGAGAUGCAAAAGCGGUUUUCCUUUCUCUUUAAGUUUGAAGCUGCAAGGACAAGUUUCUUGGUUCCAACCCAAUCCAACUUCCUCAUUUUACUGGUGAAGAUUAAGAAUGCUAGAGAGAUAAGUGACUAGCCCAAGGUCAUACUGUCUACAGAAUUGAGGUUCAAGCAUGAUUAAUACAUGUUUUGAGGAAUGAAGAAGAUGAAUAUCAGACCACUGGGAUAAUAAGCAGCAGCCAUUUGUGAAAGUCUGAGUAAAGAUUUGCAGAGAGAGCAAUAAGUUUGUCUGGAACUGACCUCCACAAGGCAAAUUCAGAAACCGGC